rnacentral:misc_RNA from 1 species
AACGCACAUUGCGCCCUUUGGUAUUCCUUAGGGCAUGUCUGUUCGAGCGUCAUUUUACCCUUCAAGCUUUGCUUGGUGUUGGGCGUCUUUGUCCCCCCCUCGGCGGGGAGACUCGCCUUAAAAUCAUCGGCGUCGGUAGCCAUCCGCCUAGAGCGCAGCAGAGUUCGCGCCUCGAAGCCUGGCCAUCCGCCCGCCGCAAACCAAACCCCCCAACUUUGACCUCGGAUCAGAUAGGGAUACCCGCUGAACUUAA